UGUAGAGAUACGGGAGUGCCUUCGGGAAUCAGAACACAGGUGCUGCAUGGCUGUCGUCAGCUCGUGUCGUGAGAUGUUGGGUUAAGUCCCGCAACGAGCGCAACCCUUAUCAUUAGUUGCUACGCAAGGGCACUCUAAUGAGACUGCCGGUGACAAACCGGAGGAAGGUGGGGAUGACGUCAAGUCCUCAUGGCCCUUAUGGGUAGGGCUUCACACGUCAUACAAUGGUCGGUACAGAGGGUUGCCAAGCCGCGAGGUGGAGCCAAUCCCAGAAAGCCGAUCGUAGUCCGGAUUGUUCUCUGCAACUCGAGAGCAUGAAGUCGGAAUCGCUAGUAAUCGCGGAUCAGCAUGUCGCGGUGAAUACGUUCCCGGGUCUU
rnacentral:rRNA from 1 species